rnacentral:rRNA from 1 species
AUGCAUGCUGGCGGCGUGCUUAACCCAUGCAAGUCGCACGGAAAGGCUCCUGCUUGCAGGGGUACUCGAGUGGCGAACGGGUGAGUAACACGUGGGUGAUCUGCCCUGCACUUCGGGAUAAGCCUGGGAAACUGGGUCUAAUACCGGAUAGGACCACAUUUUGGAUGGUGUGGUGGAAAGUUUUUCGGUGUGGGAUGAGCUCGCGGCCUAUCAGCUUGUUGGUGGGGUAAUGGCCUACCAAGGCGUCGACGGGUAGCCGGCCUGAGAGGGUGUACGGCCACAUUGGGACUGAGAUACGGCCCAGACUCCUACGGGAGGCAGCAGUGGGGAAUAUUGCACAAUGGGCGCAAGCCUGAUGCAGCGACGCCGCGUGGGGGAUGACGGCCUUCGGGUUGUAAACUCCUUUCGCUAGGGACGAAGCGUUUUAGUGACGGUACCUGGAGAAGAAGCACCGGCUAACUACGUG